GGCAAGAUUUCAUCCUUUUUGCUUGCCGAGUAAUACUCCAUUGUAUAUAUAAACCACAUCUUCUUUAUCCAUUCAUCCAUCGAUGGACAUUUGGGCUCCUUCCAUACUUUGGCUAUUGUGGAUAGUGCUGCUAUAAACCUGGGGGUGCCUGUGUCCCUUCGAAACAGCACACCUGUAUCCCAUGGAUAAAUGCCUAGUAGUGCCAUUGCUGGGUCAUAGGGUAGUUCUAUUUUUAGUUUCUUGAGGAACCUCCAUACUGUUUUCCAUGGUGGCUGCACCAGCUUGCAUUCCCAUGGUCUCUAUCUCUGUUGACUCAAACCUUUCCAGAAGAAUAUUGGACUAGCUUUCAAAGUUCCCAGUUGUCUCAUGAUUAUAGAGCCUGCAUUCCUGACAACCCUGGAGUCAGUUCAGAAUUAAACCCGCUGCUGUAUCUCUCUUCCGACACAGGAUGUGGAAAGCUCUCUGGCUGCAGGCAGGACCUUGCACUUACCCAUGUGUUUGGGCCCUGAGUAUAUACCGAAUUUCCAGCUAGCGAUGAGGCGCCCCUCUGUGGACGUGUUCAAAGACAGCCUUUAAAAAAAUCAUCAUCAUCAUCAUCAUCAUCAUCAUCAGAUUUAGAAUCUGAAUGAAGGGAUUAAUGGCGUCCGGAGGCAAGGUGAUUUCUGAGACUUCGAGACUUCGGUCUUCGGUUGGAGUACCGCCAGCAGCUGAGCCAUCCCGACACCCCACUGCUCUCAGGAACGAGAAGCCACUAUUUGCCUUCUCGUCGCCCCGCCAGGAAGAAGCCUACCAGGUAUCCUAGAACCCGUCCCAGACAGCCGAUGGAAGCUUUGGCUCCCCCUCUCUCCAAGCUUUUGGAAAGUAAUCGUAGCCCUGCAGAAAAUGAGUGGCUCCUUUUUGAGAUGGAUUGAGAAGAAGCCUUGCUGAGGUUUAAUCGCAUAAACGGAGGCACGGCCUUCCCGCGCUCUCUCAACCGAUGGAAACAAAGAUGCUAAGUGUGAGGCUCUGUGUUCACUCACGCUUGAUUUUGUGUAAACCCUGCAUAUCACAUGGGGUACCUACGCAUGGACAGUGAAUGAGGAAGAAGAUGCCUCCGACUUGGGGCAGCUCAGUAGAUCACCAGGCAGAGACCAGCAAUUGUCAGGUCUCCGCACGGGGCGUCUAGAAGACAGGCAAAUUCACGCAGCCCGGCCAAAGGGUGCGGAUUUACGCGCUGGCCUUUUCAACUGGUCUUCAAAACUGAUUAAACGUUUGAAAGUGACACUCCUCCACGUUUCGUUUGUUCCUGAUGAUUCUCACUCCUUGAACUGUCCAAGCAGCUCAACAGAGAAGGGUAGAGAAGCUGAAGAAAACUACCAUUGUCAGUAGAUGCACGCUGUUCCCCUGCACAGGCGAAAAGGGAGAGAAGGGCAGAGCCACGUGGGUUAAAUUGGCUGUCUUAUGCUGGGUCUCACCAGGCUUGAUGUUUUCGGUUUACAUCUGCAAUACCCGGAAUACAGCAGAUCACCCCCUUAUCCACCGAGGAUACGUUUUAGGACCCUGAGUGGGUGCCUGAAAUGGUGGCGAGCAAAAUCACAGAGAGAAGACAGACUUCUUCAUUAUGUGCAGAAUAACACUUUAAUGGACUUUUUCUUUAUGAAACUCAUAAAUCCCAGAUCAUCUUCUGGAAUAAAGAAUCUGAAUGUUUCCCAUAAUUAAAAUGUCUUCACUGAGGGCAGAAUUGCAAAUCUCAGAUGAUUUCCUUCUAGAAACAACUUUUUUCCGCCCUUCUGUGGAAGCCUCAGAAAAGAUCCAUCUGGACUCCAAGUUGGGAAGACACGGCCCUUUGGAAGCUGGGUUGGCCUUUUCACAUCACCAUGGGAUAGGGCCUACGGAGAACGGCGUCCAAUGGAAACCCAAGGAAGCCUUGGUGCAUUGGCUCCAAGAGCAGCCGAAGCUUCUGUUAUCCCCACGCUUUCACCAAAACCUUGUUAAUUAUUAUAAUCUGUAUUUAGCAUUAAGGGAUGGUCCAGGGUUCAAGCUUGAGCAGAGCAGUUCUGGAAACAACAGAAACCCCGGAAAAGCUAGAGUCCGGUCCAUGCGGGUGACUGGACGUGGGCCGGAGGAGCAGACAAGAACCAGACGGUGUCAUCUGGGGCGUCAUAGAAUACAGGCCUUGGACCACUGUCUUCAAGGUGUUAUUGAGCAUGUGACUCAUGUAAGCUAGAGGGGUCUGGGGCACUUGGGUGUCAGGCAAAUUUACCUAGCAAUUCCUUAUGCUUUUAUAUGCAUGGCAUCCCACCCUGGAGUCACUGGCUCAAAUUCUUGGCUAAAGGACACACAGAACAUUCUUCUUAUUGCUCUGAUUUCCCUCUCCCCAGCCAGGUUGAACCUCCCUGCAGGCACCUGUCGCCUAACACGGUUUCCAUAAAUACCUCUUGAAGAGCAGCCCAGGGCCUCGAGUCCUGUAACCCCUUUUCCACAAAGCCUUUUGGAGGCACAACAGAACUGUGGCUUAGAAACUUAGGAUCAUAAAGCCAGAGAAUUCAACCCGUCAGGAAUAGCUUGCUUGUCGCCAGGUCUAACCCCCUGAGGAUCCACUUGUUCCUUGUUUUUCUUUUCUCUUUUUCUAU